rnacentral:rRNA from 1 species
GACGAACGCUGGCGGCGUGCUUAACACAUGCAAGUCGAACGAAGUGGCGAACGGGUGAGUAACGCGUAAUCAACCUGCCCUUCAGAGGGGGACACCAGUUGGAAACGACUGCUAAUACCGCAUACUGAAGGAGGGGUUUGCGUCGGAUUAGCUAGGUGGAGGGGUAACGGCCCACCAAGGCGAUGAUCAGUAGCCGGGCUGAGAGGAUGAACGGGCAAAGUGGGACGGAGACACGGCCCAGACGCCUACGGGAGGCAGCAGGGGGGAAUCUUCCGCAAUGGACGAAAGGCUGACGGAGCAACGCCGCGGGAGGGAUGAAGGCCUUCGGGGUGUAAAGCUCUGUUAAUCGGGACGCGGUACCGGAAUAGAAAGCCACGGCUAACUACGUGCCAGCCGCCGCGGUAAUUC